UUUUUUUUUUUUUCAGCCACAAGGAUAAACCAGGAUGCAUUUCACUUAACCCAAGGACAUUAUAUUUGUAUAAAAUAAUGUAAAGUCAGAGACAAUCCCAUUCAAUUGCCGUUCAAGUGGCAUUAAAACAAACACUGAGGUUCUGUCGGUAAAGUUAGCAGGCAUGUGGAUAAAGAGAUGUUGUUGGUAUAUUAUAGUCUGCCAAGAACGUAAGACUACCAAGAAAUUAGGAAAUAAAUAGGAGCAAAUAAAAGAAAAAAGAAAAGAAGCUGCAUUGCACAUCAGUCUAAUGCAAAAGCUUUUAGUACUAAAACUAUGACUUAUUUGUGACUGUAUGUCAUGAAAUCAUUUUCUGAGGGCAGGAGGAGGAUAAAAUAAACAUGCUAUUUUGUACAAAAGCUUGGAUUCUAUUUAAAAAAUCUUGUCACCAGAAAUGAGGAGGAGUGUCUGAGUAAAAGCAACCAUAAAAAUGGCCAUUAUCUUCUGAAAAAAAAAAAAAUUGAGAUAUGGGGCACAAUGUAUUUGACCAGCAGUAUGAUCAUAUGUUCGUGUCAUUUUGAUCAAGAAUAACAAGAAUAGACUGCUAAGCUCCAAAUUUGCAUAGCAUUUUAGUGCACAACUUUACACUGCAUUGGUAAAAGGAUACACUGAGUUAAGCACUGGCUGCGUUUAGAGACAGCCAAAACGGAAAUUUCUGUUCUGCAGAAAAUCCUGACCCUUCAGAAUUUGAUUACGCUCCAUAUCAGAAAUAAUUCCGCUACUUCAGAAUUUCCUAUUAAACAAAUGUCUUGAAGAAAAUAGAUUCAGGAAUCUAAAGCAAAAGCAUUCUGAUAACGAUAAGUCAAUUAAUUUUUGCAUGAUAGAAUGGUUUUAGUUUGAUGUAGUAAGAAGCUUUUUAUGAAUUGUAUCUAAAUGCUAUUGAAGCCACUUCAGAUGACGUUUCAUGUCAACAUAGUAAUAUAGUUAUCAUAAAUAUAUAAUGUAAAAGUAGUCAGGACAAAAUACAGACAUGGCAUUACUAAACCAGAUGAAUCUUACAAAACUGAAAUAAUUAUUUCUGGCAGUUUUCCAUGGCUACUUGCACCACAUCUGUUACAAAACCUUAAAAUACGGACUACCCUCAAUUCACUGGAAAAACAACAAAUAAACCCUAAACAAUUUCCUUCCCCUUCUGCAAAACCAUUCCACUGAAAAAUGUGAUCAGUUUGGCCUCACCAGCAUGAGUGGGAAGUUUAGCACUGGCAACAAUGGAGUCGGGAUUUUUCCAACAGGCUUCAGAAAGACUACUUGUGUACCUGAAUACAUGCAAACACAACAUCUGUAUUGAUCUGGAACCUUAACAACAAAACUUCAAGGAAAACGACCUCGUCUCAGUCUCAGCUGAGAGUACAAAGCAAGACUCUCAAACAUACUGCACAGACACUCAAACAAGCAAAAGCAAUUUCCAGCCAAAUUCAUUUUCCUUGAAUUUACAUCAUUUGAAACAACGGUAAAAAUAGAUCCUUUCAAAAUAAGUAUGACCAGUCCACCAAUUUUAAAGUAUCUUCAACAAAAGGGAGAAGUGACACAUUAAUUUUACCAUACAUUUAAAAAAUCAUUACUGUUAUUGCAAGUGGUGCAUACCUAAAAUCUGCAUGAUUAUAAAUAACAUAUUGAUUUCUGACUGUAAGGAGAGAUUGUUCUCAACAGUAAAUGUAAUAAAACUAAACUAUCCGGUCAUGUUAACAAAAGGGAGUCCACCAAAUGGCAGCAUGCUAUCAUCUAGUGUUAUCAAGAGGCUAAAUGUAUUUUUCAGGAAACAACUACAAACACUCCCAACAAAUCAUGGUGCUAAUUUUUUUUUUAUUAUUAUUAUUUUUGUGAAUUGGAGGAAAAAAAAAGAAGAGUAGAUUCUCCUCUUCCUUCCUGCCUAAUCUUAAUCAGCAUGUGCUUUACUACAGAUUUGAGAAGCCGUAUGGUAUCUAUUUGUCACGAAACAGGCAGGGGAUUCAUUGCCCACAUAUCGGCUUCUUUGCCCAUCUACGCUGCCCUCCGCUUUUCUGAUGGUACUUUGGAGGCUAAAAUUCUUUUGGACGUCCACUGGCCCGGAUAUAAGCAUGGAGCUAAAGUUCCUUACAGCAUUUUGGGCCAAUGUAGUCUGAAGUGACAUCCCCACUGCUGCAUAUCAUAAAAGAAUAACAAUCAUCCCUAUCUACCUCCAAAACAACAGCUGCAGCAAAGUAAAAGGCAUCUUACUUUUAAACAGCAGAGAAGCAUAUUUAAGAAAAAGUAGGAUAUAACAUUUCAAGUACAAAACAUUCAACAGAAAUGACUUCAAAUGACACUGAAAUUUUCAGAACGAUCACUUAGAAGCUGCUUUGUUUCCCUUAAGUGAGGAUUUAUUUUUGGUACGUAGACUUGGUAAUUUUGCUAUCAGUAGGUGGAAUGUACUCUCUAAUCUCAACUUUACGCAAACGUUAGCCAGAGCUUUGCAACUACAUUUAUCCAAAUAGAUCACUGUAUUUCAUAUUGCAGCACAGCCUUGCUUAGUCUCUAAAAUAAAUUUACAAAGGGAGUGGAAUACUCUGGGGAUUGCUAAUGCAAUAGGGAGAGUUUUUUUUUUAAUCCUGAUGUCAUUAUCUGAAACCAACUUGAAUUUGUUACUUUAAGUAGCCUGGGACACCAAUUGGAACUGGGGAAGCACUACUUCCUAGGUACAGAAACAUAGUAGGAGACCCCAUCACAAAGCACCCAUCACAAAGCAGACUGUCCAAGCAGUCAGGGCACACAAGAAAAGCACUGUCAGCCCUUUUAUGUCUGGUCCGUGAGAGACUCACCCAUGUUCAGAGAGCAAAUAUAUAGUGAAGAUGGAAAAUGAGCAUGGACAUCCCAAGUACCAAUGGCUCCACUCAUUCACUGAAAUGUUAUUCUAAGGACCAAAUGUCCAUGUUGAUAGAUGUGUUGUACCAUUAUGACAAUAGUGCAACUCCAUUGAAGAUCUCUAAUCUCCAUUUAGUAUUAGUGAAUACUGUUAGUGAAUUUGCUGCAUUUUUAAAUGUACCAAUAAAGAUUAAAUACCUAGCUCUAUGAACACAGAUUUUAGCAUAUGUUUAUUAAUCAUCUCUGCAUCAGCAAAAGCAAAUAAAGCAUUUAACAGUGAUGAGAGCUAAUGGCCUGAUACGAUGUGCAAAAGUUUCACUUGAAGAGUGGACAAUAAUCAAUAGUCACAGUUCCACACACAUAAAAUUAGAGCAACUGCAAGAGCAAUUCCAGACCAGUUAAGGUUCCAUAAACAUGCAACACUUGUUGUUGGCUCCUGCUGGUUUUUACUAAUAGACAGAAUGAAAGAGUUAAGCACAUCAUUCUGUACUUCAUUUUCUUUUUCUUUUUCCUUUUCCUUUAUCUUACUCAUUCUUCUCGCUCUCCUUUUUUUUAAAAAAAAAAAAAAAAAAAAAAAG
ensembl:lncRNA